rnacentral:lncRNA from 1 species
AAUAUAUAUAUAUAUAUUUCUCUGUGAUCCUUUUCAGUAAAAGAUGUGUCAAACCCAGAGUAACUGGAGUAAUGCUUGUGGCAAAGCCCUUUCCUAUACUUUACAAUAAAUGCAUUGGAUUUUGCUAACAUGUGGGAUGCAGCAGGUGCAAAAUAGUUGGUGGAAGUGAUUUUUCCAAGCAAAAAAGAUAUGACAAAGAAGUAGAUGAAAUGCAAUGAUUAUAGAUUACCAUUGUGCCAUUGAUGUAUUUGAUGGCAGUAUGCUAAUGUUGUAAUUUCAGUUCUUUAACACGCUAAAUACCAGAUUUUUUCUUUUCCAAAUUCUCAUAUUGGAAUAGUCAAGUUCGUC